CGCAGGCGGUAGGGUUCGAACCUACGCGGAAACCCCAAUGGAUUUGAGGUCCAUCGCCUUAACCACUCAGCCACGACUGC